AGAGUUUGAUCCUGGCUCAGAAUGAACGCUGGCGGCGUGCUUAACACAUGCAAGUCGAGCGAGAAAGGCCUUCGGGCCGAGUAAAGCGGCAGACGGGUGAGUAAUGCGUGAGAAUCUGCCUUUCAGUGAAGAAUACCCUCGAGAAAUCGAGGUUAAUACUGCAUACGUCCCUUCGGGGAGAAAGAUGGCCUCUUGCUGUC
rnacentral:rRNA from 1 species